UCUGCCCCCUCCCCAGCCUGACCUGGUCCGCAGCCGCCUGGGUGACCCCCAUCCCGCCCCCUCCCCGGCCGCCGUCGCCGCCGCCGCCUCGGCCGACCAGGGACCUGCCCGCCCGCGGCUGCUCCGGACCUAAAGGAUCAAGACAUAAUGGGAGCAUUUUUAGACAAGCCAAAGAUGGAAAAACAUAAUGCCCAGGGGCAGGGUAAUGGGUUGCGAUAUGGGCUAAGCAGCAUGCAAGGCUGGCGAGUUGAAAUGGAGGAUGCACAUACAGCUGUAAUUGGUUUGCCAAGCGGACUUGAAACAUGGUCAUUCUUUGCUGUGUAUGAUGGGCAUGCUGGUUCUCAGGUUGCCAAAUACUGCUGUGAGCAUUUGUUAGAUCACAUCACCAAUAACCAGGAUUUUAAAGGGUCUGCAGGAGCACCUUCUGUUGAAAAUGUAAAGAAUGGAAUCAGAACAGGUUUUCUGGAGAUUGAUGAACACAUGAGAGUUAUGUCAGAGAAGAAACAUGGUGCAGAUAGAAGUGGGUCAACAGCUGUGGGUGUCUUAAUUUCUCCUCACCAUACUUACUUCAUUAACUGUGGAGACUCGAGAGGUUUACUUUGUAGGAACAGAAAAGUUUAUUUCUUCACACAAGAUCACAAACCAAAUAAUCCGCUGGAAAAAGAACGGAUUCAGAAUGCAGGUGGCUCUGUAAUGAUUCAGCGUGUGAAUGGCUCUCUGGCUGUGUCGAGAGCACUUGGGGACUUUGAUUACAAAUGUGUCCAUGGAAAAGGUCCUACAGAGCAGCUUGUCUCACCAGAGCCUGAAGUCCAUGAUAUUGAAAGAUCUGAAGAAGAUGAUCAGUUCAUUAUCCUUGCAUGUGAUGGUAUUUGGGAUGUUAUGGGAAAUGAAGAGCUCUGUGAUUUUGUAAGAUCCAGACUUGAAGUCACUGAUGACCUUGAGAAAGUUUGCAAUGAAGUAGUCGACACGUGUUUGUAUAAGGGAAGUCGAGACAACAUGAGUGUGAUAUUGAUCUGUUUCCCAAAUGCACCCAAAGUAUUGCCAGAAGCAGUGAAGAAGGAGGCAGAGUUGGACAAGUACCUGGAAAGCAGAGUAGAAGAAAUCAUAAAGAAGCAGGGGGAAGGCGUCCCUGACUUAGUCCAUGUGAUGCGCACAUUAGCAAGUGAGAACAUCCCCAGCCUCCCACCAGGAGGUGAAUUGGCAAGCAAGCGGAAUAUAAUUGAAGCCGUUUACAAUAGACUGAAUCCUUACAAAAAUGAUGACACUAGUUGUUCACUGCACCCAUUCUUUUACACACACCCCUGAUUGAUUGCUCUGAACUCUGCCUGCACCACAGUUCUAGUGAUUGAGGACAUAAUCAUGGACUCUACAUCGACUGAUGAUAUGUGGUAAAACUGCUCAUCUAGCCAUGGAGUUUAUCUUCACCUCCAAAGGAGAGUACAGCUCAACUUCAUUGAACCUUUUAACAUUCAUCCUCAUCUUUAAAGAAGGGCGUAUGACCUGGGUGAGAGUGAUUACACCAGAGAACUUCAGCAGUACAACAGCUAGCCCAGAACUGAUUUUUUUUUUUUGUAAAUUUGAGACUUAUGUAAACGUGAUUUUAAACCAUAAUUCAUGUUGUAAAUCAGACUCCAGCAAUUUUUGUUGUAUGAUUUUGUUUUUUGUAAAGUGUAACUGUCCUUGUACAAAAUGCUCAUAUUUAAUUAUGAACUGCUUUAAAUCAUUAUCAAAGUUAUAAGAAAUGUUUGGCUUGUUGUGUGACGCAACAGAUAUAUAGAUCUUUCAAGUCAUGUUGUGUUUGGACUUGGGGUUGGGACAGAGAGAGCAGCAGCCAUGUCAGCUAGACGCUCAACUGUGCACAUGAUUAUGGAGAAAAAUUCCAAAAUCUUAUAAAGCCGAGCAUCCAGGGAGUUAAUUGGAAACUAUCUUAAUGUUCUUGGCAGUGGGAUUGGCAUUGUUGAUAAGGCUGGUCCCUUCACUUAAUUGUCUUUAAGUUGUUCUCUACUUGUUGCCAUGAGUAUUGCAGGUUAUACAGUAUAUUCAUAAGAAUAUCAGUCUUGGGGCUAAAAUGCCUUGAUUCUUUGCACCUCUUUUACAAGUCCUUACAUUUAAUUAUUAAUUGAUAAGCAGCAGCUUCCUACAGAUAGUAGGAGAGACUGCCACAUUUUGCUAUCAUGAUUGGCUGGGCCUGCUGCUGUUCCUAGUAAGAUAUUCUGAAUUCCAUUUUAUCAAUAAAGCUUGAUUUAACGAACAAGAAAUUUAAUCAUGUAUGUGUAAUUCCUCCUUUACCUUGCCCUUUUAAAACACCAUGUCAUUGUAAAUGAGAAGUUUCUAUGGGAAAAGAUGUUAGUCUCUUUUAAUUGGAACAUCCUGUUACUCAAGGCAUAGAGGGAACUGUUUCUUUUCCAUUAGCAAGACUAAAAGAUUUAAGUCUCUGUUGUUCCUUAAUCUAUUUUUUAAAUGGGUUUCUUUCUGGCUGCUUAUUUUUCAUUAAGAUAUGUAUCAGCUCGAAUUUGCCUACUGUUUAAUUAAAAUAAUUGUCAGAGCUUGACAAUCUAACAUUCUGUGGUAGGUGUGUGUGUUUGUGAGUGUGUUUGCCUGUGAUUUUUAAUUGGCCCAUGUCUUUAGAAUCCAAGUAGUUAAGAUGUAUUUGUGAUUUGAAAUAUAGCAUGUUGAUACUAUUUAGCUGUUGGCCUUUAAAAAUAACUCAAAGUUUAAAGAACUGUAGAUAUAAAAAUAACUAAUUUAAUUUAGGCUUAAAUUCCUCUGAUUAAGCAUGUGAAAAGUAAGUUUUAAAAUCUGUCACAUUGAAAAGACUACUGUUCUGUGCCCUUCUGUAUUUUUGUCUCUUUAGGUUGAAUAUUGUAUUUAUACCAUGUAAUUUAAUCAUUCAGUAGGCAGAUUCCCCACUAGAAAAAUAUUAAAAUACAUUUGAAUACAAGAUCAAAACUUUGUGUAUAAAAGGUAAUAUAACUAGUUUCCUUUUGUUUUUACAUAAUUUGAAAAUAUACAUAUUUGUAUAUAUAGCCUUAAAACUAAUCUAAAGGUAGGGGAAUAGUGGGAAAAGUGAUGUGAAAUGUCUCAGAUUUAAGUAGUUACAUACCAACAAAAUCUUUUCAUUAUCCCUCUUAUUCAUGAGGUGAUUAAAUGUAACUUAACUGUAUUUAAUUUAUAUUUUAAUCUAGCAUGAAUUAAGAAAAACAAGUACUAUUUAUAUUUAGAAAUUCAUAACAGUUGGAAUUACAGAACCAAUUCCAUACUUAACUUACAAAUAAAUGCUUCAUGUCUAAAAUCUGUGGUAAAGUGCGAAGUAUGAUAAUGUUUUAAGUUAUGGCUUUGCAAGCAUCUAAAUGUGCAUUUUAUGAAUAGCAGUGCUUGUAGUAUAGAUUGAUUACCAGACAUACUGGUACUGAAAACUAAAUUCCUAUUGCAAGAAGCCAGGUCCUUAAUUUUUUUAAGUAGACUCAGUUUUUAGUUCUGGAAACUUCAAUUAGUUUUUGAAAUGAAAAAUCUUAAAACACAAGUAAGACAUAUGAUAGAAAGCUAUAUUUUAAACCAUAACAGCAUAUGUAGAGCCUUUUUAAAUUUAAGGAUCUUUAAAUUAAAAAAAUCAAAAUAUUCCUCUGUUAAAGUUAUUAGUACUGAAAUUAGGCUUGGAAGUGAGAGAAAACUGUAUGAAGUGUGAUCUGAGAAAACUAAAUCUUUUCUACAUGAGUCAGCAUUGCCAUAUUAGGUAUAGUUUUUCAUUAUUAAAAUACAGGAAGAAAAUAUA